UACGUAGGGGGCAAGCGUUGUCCGGAUUUAUUGGGCGUAAAGAGCGUGUAGGCGGCCUGGAAGGUCAGCUGUGAAAACUCGAGGCUCAACCUCGAGACGUCGGUUGAAACCACCUGGCUAGAGUCCGGAAGAGGAGAGUGGAAUUCCCGGUGUAGCGGUGAAAUGCGCAGAUAUCGGGAAGAACACCCGUGGCGAAGGCGGCUCUCUGGGACGGUACUGACGCUGAGGUGCGAAAGCGUGGGGAGCAAACAGG
rnacentral:rRNA from 1 species